AAGGCCCUUCGGGGUACACGAGCGGCGAACGGGUGAGUAACACGUGAGCAACCUGCCCCCGACUCCGGGAUAAGCGGUGGAAACGCCGUCUAAUACCGGAUACGACCGGCCACCUCAUGGCGGCCGGUGGAAAGUUUUUCGGUUGGGGAUGGGCUCGCGGCCUAUCAGCUUGUUGGUGGGGUAAAGGCCUACCAAGGCGAUUACGGGUAGCCGGCCUGAGAGGGCGACCGGCCACACUGGGACUGAGACACGGCCCAGACUCCUGCGGGAGGCAGCAGUGGGGAAUAUUGCGCAAUGGGCGAAAGCCUGACGCAGCGACGCCGCGUGGGGGAUGACGGCCUUCGGGUUGUAAACCUCUUUUACCACCAACGCAGGCUCCCAGUUCUCUGGGGGUUGACGGUAGGUGGGGAAUAAGGACCGGCUAACUACGUGCCAGCAGCCGCGGUAAUACGUAGGGUCCGAGCGUUGUCCGGAAUUAUUGGGCGUAAAGAGCUCGUAGGCGGCGUGUCGCGUCUGCUGUGAAAGACCGGGGCUUAACCCCGGUUCUGCAGUGGAUACGGGCAUGCUAGAGGUAGGUAGGGGAGACUGGAAUUCCUGGUGUAGCGGUGAAAUGCGCAGAUAUCAGGAGGAACACCGGUGGCGAAGGCGGGUCUCUGGGCCUUACCUGACGCUGAGGAGCGAAAGCAUGGGGAGCGAACAGGAUUAGAUACCCUGGUAGUCCAUGCCGUAAACGUUGGGCGCUAGGUGUGGGGACUUUCCACGGUUUCCGCGCCGUAGCUAACGCAUUAAGCGCCCCGCCUGGGGAGUACGGCCGCAAGGCUAAAACUCAA
rnacentral:rRNA from 1 species